AUGAACUUCAUCAAGUUCAAUUUUAUAGGCAUUAGCUCCUUCAUUAAGAAACUUUUUUUUCAAAAAGACUGUCCGACUGCUGACAAACACCUUUUGUUCUGCAGCGAGAUAGAAGUAGUAUCCUUUAGUUUUUUUUGGAUACCCUACGAAUAAGUAUCUGUCAAACUUCAGUCCAAGCUUAUCUAUUUUUAAAUGCUUGACAUAAAUUGGACACCCC
rnacentral:lncRNA from 1 species